rnacentral:rRNA from 1 species
UACGUAGGGGGCAAGCGUUGUCCGGAUUUAUUGGGCGUAAAGAGCGUGUAGGCGGCCUGGUAGGUCAGCUGUGAAAACUCGAGGCUCAACCUCGAGACGCCGGUUGAAACCAUCAGGCUAGAGUCCGGAAGAGGAGAGUGGAAUUCCUGGUGUAGCGGUGAAAUGCGCAGAUAUCAGGAGGAACACCAAUGGCGAAGGCAGCUCGCUGGGACGUGACUGACGCUGAGACGCGAAAGCGUGGGGAGCAAACAGG